GCCGGGUGCGGUGGCGCGUGCCUGUAAUCCAAGCUACCGGGAGGCUGAGGCUGGAGGAUCGUUUGAGCUCAGGAGCUCUGAGCUGCAGCGGACUAUGUCGAGCAGGUGUCCGCACCAAGUUCGGUAUCGAUAUGGUGCUCCUGGGGGAGCCCGGGACCACCAGGUCGUCUAAGGAGGGGUGCACCGGCCAAGGUCGGACACGGAGCAGGUCAAAGCCCCCGUGCCGCUCAGUAGUGGGAUCGCGCCUGUGAAUAGACGCUGUAGUGCAGCCUGAGUAACACAGCGGGACCCAGUCUUUU
ensembl:misc_RNA Metazoa_SRP Metazoan signal recognition particle RNA